UCGCCACCGACAGAGGGGGCGUGCGUUUUUUUGGGAUCGCCUCCGACCGCUGGUUCCCAGUGCUAUGCCUGCCGCGGUCCGGCCCGCUCGCUUGGUUCGGUCCCGCGCCGGAGCUCCGCCGUAGCCGAUGCUGCCUCGGUCCCAGAGCCAGAGUAACGCAAGCACAAACCGCAUGGAACAGUUGAUGGUGUCUACAUCAGUAGCCCACUGUCCCACCACCAACCCCGUGUCUACAGUCUGCUAACACUAUCGGAACAAUUAGGCUUGGAGAUUACGACCGCAGGAAGUACUAGCAGAUCAGUCGCCCUUUCCUUCGAGGUGCGUUACUCUGCAACUGACGCCUCUUACG
rnacentral:lncRNA from 1 species